UUAUCGUUUAUUUGAUAGUACCUUACUACAUGGAUAACCGUGGUAAUUCUAGAGCUAAUACAUGCUAAAAACCCCGACUUCGGAAGGGGUGUAUUUAUUAGAUAAAAAACCAAUGCCCUUCGGGGCUCCUUGGUGAAUCAUAAUAACUUAACGAAUCGCAUGGCCUUGCGCCGGCGAUGGUUCAUUCAAAUUUCUGCCCUAUCAACUUUCGAUGGUAGGAUAGUGGCCUACCAUGGUAUCAACGGGUAACGGGGAAUUAGGGUUCGACUCCGGAGAGGGAGCCUGAGAAACGGCUACCACAUCCAAGGAAGGCAGCAGGCGCGCAAAUUACCCAAUCCCGACACGGGGAGGUAGUGACAAUAAAUACUGAUACAGGGCUCUUUUGGGUCUUGUAAUUGGAAUGAGUACAAUUUAAAUCCCUUAACGAGGAACAAUUGGAGGGCAAGUCUGGUGCCAGCAGCCGCGGUAAUUCCAGCUCCAAUAGCGUAUAUUAAAGUUGUUGCAGUUAAAAAGCUCGUAGUUGAACCUUGGGCCUGGCUGGCCGGUCCGCCUCACCGCGUGUACUGGUCCGGCCGGGCCUUUCCUUCUGGGGAACCUCAUGCCCUUCACUGGGCGUGCUGGGGAACCAGGACUUUUACUUUGAAAAAAUUAGAGUGUUCAAAGCAGGCCUUUGCUCGAAUACAUUAGCAUGGAAUAAUAGAAUAGGACGUGUGGUUCUAUUUUGUUGGUUUCUAGGACCGCCGUAAUGAUUAAUAGGGAUAGUCGGGGGCAUCAGUAUUCAAGCGUCAGAGGUGAAAUUCUUGGAUUGCUUGAAGACUAACUACUGCGAAAGCAUUUGCCAAGGAUGUUUUCAUUAAUCAGUGAACGAAAGUUAGGGGAUCGAAGACGAUCAGAUACCGUCGUAGUCUUAACCAUAAACUAUGCCGACUAGGGAUCGGACGGUGUUAGUAUUUUGACCCGUUCGGCACCUUACGAGAAAUCAAAGUUUUUGGGUUCUGGGGGGAGUAUGGUCGCAAGGCUGAAACUUAAAGAAAUUGACGGAAGGGCACCACCAGGCGUGGAGCCUGCGGCUUAAUUUGACUCAACACGGGGAAACUCACCAGGUCCAGACACAAUAAGGAUUGACAGAUUGAGAGCUCUUUCUUGAUUUUGUGGGUGGUGGUGCAUGGCCGUUCUUAGUUGGUGGAGUGAUUUGUCUGCUUAAUUGCGAUAACGAACGAGACCUUAACCUGCUAAAUAGCCAGGCCCGCUUUGGCGGGUCGCCGGCUUCUUAGAGGGACUAUCGGCUCAAGCCGAUGGAAGUUUGAGGCAAUAACAGGUCUGUGAUGCCCUUAGAUGUUCUGGGCCGCACGCGCGCUACACUGACAGAGCCAACGAGUUCAUUUCCUUGUCCGAAAGGUCUGGGUAAUCUUGUUAAACUCUGUCGUGCUGGGGAUAGAGCAUUGCAAUUAUUGCUCUUCAACGAGGAAUGCCUAGUAAGCGCAUGUCAUCAGCAUGCGUUGAUUACGUCCCUGCCCUUUGUACACACCGCCCGUCGCUACUACCGAUUGAAUGGCUCGGUGAGGCCUUCGGACUGGCCCAGGGAGGUCGGCAACGACCACCCAGGGCCGGAAAGUUGGUCAAACCCGGUCAUUUAGAGGAAGUAAAAGUCGUAACAAGGUCUCCGUAGGUGAACCUGCGGAGGGAUCAUUACAAGUUGACCCCGGCCCUCGGGCCGGGAUGUUCACAACCCUUUGUUGUCCGACUCUGUUGCCUCCGGGGCGACCCUGCCUCCGGGCGGGGGCCCCGGGUGGACAUUUCAAACUCUUGCGUAACUUUGCAGUCUGAGUAAAUUUAAUUAAUAAAUUAAAACUUUCAACAACGGAUCUCUUGGUUCUGGCAUCGAUGAAGAACGCAGCGAAAUGCGAUAAGUAAUGUGAAUUGCAGAAUUCAGUGAAUCAUCGAAUCUUUGAACGCACAUUGCGCCCCCUGGUAUUCCGGGGGGCAUGCCUGUUCGAGCGUCAUUUCACCACUCAAGCCUCGCUUGGUAUUGGGCGACGCGGUCCGCCGCGCGCCUCAAAUCGACCGGCUGGGUCUUUCGUCCCCUCAGCGUUGUGGAAACUAUUCGCUAAAGGGUGCCGCGGGAGGCCACGCCGUAAAACAACCCCAUUUCUAAGGUUGACCUCGGAUCAGGUAGGGAUACCCGCUGAACUUAAGCAUAUCAAUAAGCGGAGGAAAAGAAACCAACAGGGAUUGCUCUAGUAACGGCGAGUGAAGCAGCAAUAGCUCAAAUUUGAAAUCUGGCGUCUUCGGCGUCCGAGUUGUAAUUUGUAGAGGAUGCUUCUGGGCAGCCACCGACCUAAGUUCCUUGGAACAGGACGUCAUAGAGGGUGAGAAUCCCGUAUGCGGUCGGAAAGGCACCCUACACGUAGCUCCUUCGACGAGUCGAGUUGUUUGGGAAUGCAGCUCUAAAUGGGAGGUAAAUUUCUUCUAAAGCUAAAUAUUGGCCAGAGACCGAUAGCGCACAAGUAGAGUGAUCGAAAGAUGAAAAGCACUUUGGAAAGAGAGUUAAAAAGCACGUGAAAUUGUUGAAAGGGAAGGGAUUGCAACCAGACUUGCUCGCGGUGUUCCGCCGGUCUUCUGACCGGUCUACUCGCCGCGUUGCAGGCCAGCAUCGUCUGGUGCCGCUGGAUAAGACUUGAGGAAUGUAGCUCCCUCGGGAGUGUUAUAGCCUCUUGUGAUGCAGCGAGCGCCGGGCGAGGUCCGCGCUUCGGCUAGGAUGCUGGCGUAAUGGUUGUAAUCCGCCCGUCUUGAAACACGGACCAAGGAGUCUAACAUCUAUGCGAGUGUUCGGGUGUCAAACCCCUACGCGUAAUGAAAGUGAACGGAGGUGAGAACCGCAAGGUGCAUCAUCGACCGAUCCUGAUGUCUUCGGAUGGAUUUGAGUAUGAGCAUAGCUGUUGGGACCCGAAAGAUGGUGAACUAUGCCUGAAUAGGGUGAAGCCAGAGGAAACUCUGGUGGAGGCUCGCAGCGGUUCUGACGUGCAAAUCGAUCGUCAAAUUU
rnacentral:rRNA from 2 species